UAGGGAAUCUUCGGCAAUGGGGGCAACCCUGACCGAGCAACGCCGCGUGAGUGAAGAAGGUUUUCGGAUCGUAAAGCUCUGUUGUAAGAGAAGAACGUGUGUGAGAGUGGAAAGUUCACACAGUGACGGUAACUUACCAGAAAGGGACGGCUAACUACGUGCCNG
rnacentral:rRNA from 1 species